rnacentral:tRNA from 1 species
UGGCACGUAGCAAAGCGGUAAUGCAGGAGACUGUUAAUCUCCCUAUCCGGACGUUCGAAUCGUCCCGUGCCAGCCA